GACGAACGCUGGCGGCGUGCCUAACACAUGCAAGUCGAGCGAUGAAGCCCUUCGGGGUGGAUUAGCGGCGGACGGGUGAGUAACACGUGGGUAACCUGCCUCAAAGAGGGGGAUAGCCUCCCGAAAGGGAGAUUAAUACCGCAUAACAUUAGCUUUUCGCAUGGAGAGCUAAUUAAAGGAGUAAUCCGCUUUGAGAUGGACCCGCGGCGCAUUAGCUAGUUGGUGAGGUAAAGGCUCACCAAGGCGACGAUGCGUAGCCGACCUGAGAGGGUGAUCGGCCACAUUGGAACUGAGACACGGUCCAGACUCCUACGGGAGGCAGCAGUGGGGAAUAUUGCACAAUGGGCGAAAGCCUGAUGCAGCAACGCCGCGUGAGUGAUGAAGGCCUUCGGGUUGUAAAGCUCUGUCUUUGGGGACGAUAAUGACGGUACCCAAGGAGGAAGCCACGGCUAACUACGUGCCAGCAGCCGCGGUAAUACGUAGGUGGCGAGCGUUGUCCGGAUUUACUGGGCGUAAAGGAUGCGUAGGUGGAUGUUUAAGUCAGAUGUGAAAUACCCGAGCUUAACUUGGGUGCUGCAUUUGAAACUGGAUAUCUAGAGUGCAGGAGAGGGCAGUGGAAUUCCCAGUGUAGCGGUGAAAUGCGUAGAUAUUGGGAGGAACACCAGUGGCGAAGGCGACUGCCUGGACGGCACCUGACGCUGAGGCGCGAAAGCCAGGGGAGCAAACGGGAUUAGAUACCCCGGUAGUCCUGGCCGUAAACGAUGGGUACUAGGUGUGGGAGGUAUCGACCCCUUCCGUGCCGCAGUUAACACAAUAAGUACCCCGCCUGGGGAGUACGGCCGCAAGGUU
rnacentral:rRNA from 1 species